CGAACGGCAGCACGGGAGUAAUCCUGGUGGCGAGUGGCGAACGGGUGAGUAAUGUAUCGGAACGUGCCCAGUCGUGGGGGAUAACGCAGCGAAAGCUGUGCUAAUACCGCAUACGAUCUAUGGAUGAAAGCGGGGGAUCGCAAGACCUCGCGCGAUUGGAGCGGCCGAUAUCAGAUUAGCUAGUUGGUGGGGUAAAAGCUUACCAAGGCGACGAUCUGUAGCUGGUCUGAGAGGACGACCAGCCACACUGGAACUGAGACACGGUCCAGACUCCUACGGGAGGCAGCAGUGGGGAAUUUUGGACAAUGGGCGCAAGCCUGAUCCAGCAAUGCCGCGUGCAGGAUGAAGGCCUUCGGGUUGUAAACUGCUUUUGUACGGAGCGAAAAAGCUCUCUCUAAUACAGGGGGCUCAUGACGGUACCGUAAGAAUAAGCACCGGCUAACUACGUGCCAGC
rnacentral:rRNA from 1 species